AAAAAAAAAAAGGAGCCCGGAACCUCCCUCACUUUCCUCCCUCUCUCGCCAUGUGAUCUCUGCACACACUGGCUGCCCCUCACCUUCUGAUAUUAGUGGAAGCUCAUGGUUCUGCAGGUUGACAUGUUCUUGCAAAACCUGAAGUUGUACUGAAGAAUUGAAGCCAACCUAACUCUAAAACCUUUUCUUUUUUCCAUAUCUAGGGAUAUCAUUUUCUAGGGUAAAUAUGCUUCCCUAAUGGAAAACAUGGACCUCUUUAGAAUCAGAAAUCUCAUCUGUACCUGAACCUGAUUUCAACUCCCAAAUCCUGAAUUUGAAUUGACAAUCUAAAAUAACAAGGUUUUGAGAUCCUGGGAGGAAGCAGCCAGCUGUCAUGUCAUAAAAACUUUUAAGUGAUCCUAUGAAGAGACCCAAGGGGUGAGGAACUGAGACCUCAUGAUAACAUCCAGCAUGAAUUUAGCUGUGGGAGCCAGUCACAUUGGAAGUGGAUCUUGCAGCCCCAGGCAAGACUGGAGAUGACUGCAGCUUUUGUGAACAUCUUCACUGCAAUAUCAUUACAUACCCCGAGCCUGAGCCAGACAGUUGAGCCUUUCCCAGAUUCCUGACCCUCAGAAACUCUUAUUUUAAUAAAUUCUUAUUUUUCUACAUUGCUAAGUUGUAGGGUGAUUUGUAUAAAGCAGUAGGUAAUUGGCACAAUUAGACACUCAGUAGGCAUUUGGUCACAUAAAGUAUGCCUCAGAUAGUUUGCAAAUGCCUCUGGAGGUUUGCCAUUGUUCCUCCAACAUGGUAGGUUUUCUAUCAGGAUUUGCUGAUUGAUUGUGUUCUUCCUAAAAAAAAAUCUAGGGAAUUUUCAUGGGAAACUGAAUGGAUAGCUGUCAUUCUUUUCCUAUCCAUUUUCUCAGUUUUUCCCGAGGACGGAGUAGUUCAAGUUGAACUCUCAGCUCCACAUAUGGAUAUGCGGCACAGGUCUGG
rnacentral:lncRNA from 1 species